rnacentral:lncRNA from 1 species
UAAAUCACGAGCUUGCGCAAUUAGCAAAUUGGUAGCCAGGCAUGGCAAAUGAAGAUUGAUUUAGACAAGACUGUUUUUAUGAGAGUAAGCUGAAAAAAAAAGACCCACUAGAAUUCACCUACGCGAUCGAACAGCAAAAAUGAAAAAUAGUCGAUGAUUAUAAAUAGCUGGGCAUUAUCCUAUCAUCUGAUAUGAAAUGGGACAAACAUGCGUCACACAUAUCUUUCAAGGCAUUUACAACACUUUGUUCACUUCAACGCUCUUUAAAAUCUGCCUCACCAGACACUAAGAUGCUAGCCUACACCUCAUUCGUUCGUCCUGUACUAGAAUAUGGCAUUACCUGUUGGUUCCCCCAUACCAAACAGUGCAUAAAACGCCUAGAAGCCAUACAGAGAAAAGCCAUCAGAUUCAUUUAUAAUAGGUACAACCGUAAUGAUUCGCCGACAUAACUCCUUGAUAAGGCUUGCCUUCCGUCUAUUUGCAAGCGUGCUAAAUUCUUACGCCUCAAGUUUUAUUCCACCUCCUUAAUGGGGGCUACGAAUUAAACAGGGGUGCAUAUGUAUCUUUCUCGGAACAGCGAAACACUAGAACUAAACAUGCUAAACAUUUAAUUGAAUACAGAUUCCACACAGACACAUUCAGGUAUUCUUCCUUUCCUCAGACAAUCAGAGAUUGGAAUUCAUUGCCUAGUGAUGUUAUAAUUUGCUCACCUGACAAUUUCCUUCCUAUGCUGGGAAAAUAUGUCUAUGAGUAUGCGUCUUGAAUUAUAAUUAUCGCCUACAGACACCGCAAUAUGUUUGUAGUU